rnacentral:rRNA from 1 species
UAGGGAAUCUUCCACAAUGGGCGAAAGCCUGAUGGAGCAACGCCGCGUGUGUGAUGAAGGGUUUCGGCUCGUAAAACACUGUUGUAAGAGAAGAAUGACAUUGAGAGUAACUGUUCAAUGUGUGACGGUAUCUUACCAGAAAGGAACGGCUAAAUACGCGCCAC